GUGCUCGGUUCGGGAGCACAUAUACUAAAAUUGGAACGAUACAGAGAAGAUUAGCAUGGCCCCUGCUCAAGGAUGACAUGCAGAUUAGUGAAGUGUUCUAUAUUUUU